UUCUGCCUUUUUAAGUCCCUAAUAAGUGACACCAACGUCUAGCCUAUAAUAGGGCCAUAGUAGCACAUCACUAAAGUCCACGAGCUGAACUCAUGAAAGAAGACCCCUCUUCUCCACUUGCCACAGAAUUUUGAUGAGCUAUUGCUAUGGUUCCAAAGACAAGCAAAGCAGCCAAAAAGGGAGAGCCAGGAGUUGCUAAAAGCAAGCAUGCUAACAGCAGUACAGAAUGACAGCUGACAGCAGGGAAAGGGACAAAAACUAUUCAGAAAGCUCAGUUACCCAGAACAGUUCAUUUCAAGGUUUUGUUGUAUUCAAGAAUCCAUAUGCAAUGAGGAGGUUUCCCUCUUAUUCCCCCCUAUCUUUCCACAUCAGCUCAUCAGCUCUCAACACACAUGCAGCGAGACAAGAAAAAUACCAUAGCUGCCAAGGAUCUUCAUAAGCACUGACUUCAAUUCCCAUUUCAUGAGCACCAGGAAGAAGGCCCUGAUAGGACACCCUGUGGCACGCCCAUCCUCCAGGCAGCCAAUGGCUAGGCAAAGAAUAGCACGGUAGCUUCCUGAUUCUCCAUGCAAGGGCUCUUUCUUAUACCUGCUAAGUGAUAUGAUGUCAUGCUGAUGUUAGAGUUUGUGUCCACUUAGCCGUAUGGGGAAAAAAAGGUCCUAGAGUCAAAGGUAAACACUGAAACUUGAUAACCUCAAACAAGAAGGUAUAAUCUUAGAACUUAUGAAAAGGUCAGGAAAGAGAAUGCAUGUGGUCAAAUGUUGAGACUUUUUCAUUCUCAAUUUAGUUGGUGUCAUCCGUCUUCAUUUAAGAGCAAGAGGUCUAUAAGUGACAGUGAAUUUUGAAAACAGGCUUCCUGACAGAACACGCUCUUGGCCCCAGCAGAUGGAUG